CUUGCUUUUCUGAAUCUAGUGGCGAACGGGUGAGUAACACGUAGGUAACCUGCCCAUGUGCCCGGGAUAACUUCUGGAAACGGAUGCUAAAACCGGAUAGGUAGCAGACAAGCAUUUGACUGCUAUUAAAGUGGCUAAGGCCAUGAACAUGGAUGGACCUGCGGUGCAUUAGCUAGUUGGUGAGGUAACGGCCCACCAAGGCGACGAUGCAUAGCCGGCCUGAGAGGAAGGCCCCCACAAUGGGACUGAGACACGGCCCAUACUCC
rnacentral:rRNA from 1 species